rnacentral:rRNA from 1 species
UACGUAGGGUGCGAGCGUUAAUCGGAAUUACUGGGCGUAAAGCGUGCGCAGGCGGUCUGUUAAGACAGAUGUGAAAUCCCCGGGCUUAACCUGGGAACUGCAUUUGUGACUGGCAGGCUAGAGUAUGGCAGAGGGGGGUAGAAUUCCACGUGUAGCAGUGAAAUGCGUAGAGAUGUGGAGGAAUACCGAUGGCGAAGGCAGCCCCCUGGGCCAAUACUGACGCUCAUGCACGAA